GACGAACGCUGGCGGCGUGCUUAACACAUGCAAGUCGAACGAAGAGCGACGGAAGCUUGCUUCUAUCAAUCUUAGUGGCGAACGGGUGAGUAACGCGUAAUCAACCUGCCCUUCAGAGGGGGACAACAGUUGGAAACGACUGCUAAUACCGCAUACGAUCUAACCUCGGCAUCGAGGAUAGAUGAAAGGUGGCCUCUACAUGUAAGCUAUCACUGAAGGAGGGGAUUGCGUCUGAUUAGCUAGUUGGAGGGGUAACGGCCCACCAAGGCGAUGAUCAGUAGCCGGUCUGAGAGGAUGAACGGCAACAUUGGGACUGAGACACGGCCCAGACUCCUACGGGAGGCAGCAGUGGGGAAUCUUCCGCAAUGGACGAAAGUCUGACGGAGCAACGCCGCGUGAGUGAUGACGGCCUUCGGGUUGUAAAGCUCUGUUAAUCGGGACGAAAGGCCUUCUUGCGAAUAGUGAGAAGGAUUGACGGUACCGGAAUAGAAAGCCACGGCUAACUACGUG
rnacentral:rRNA from 1 species